AAACCGUGUUGCGGGCAUGAACUGACGGGAUCCUUGAACCACUCCCAACAUUGGAAGAAUGUUUCGUCUUCCUUUUGGGCAAAGUUUAUAAUCGAUUUUCUGAUAGU